UCCUAUGAUGGCAUGGAAUCUUUGAGACCUGAACUUAAAUCACUGAUGAAACCUAUAAGCAUAUACAGCUGAGGAC